AGUUGCAGGGUAUAGACCCGAAACCCGGUGAUCUAUCCAUGGGCAGGUUGAAGGUUGGGUAACACUAACUGGAGGACCGAACCGACUAAUGUUGAAAAAUUAGCGGAUGACUUGUGGAUGGGGGUGAAAGGCCAAUCAAACCGGGAGAUAGCUGGUUCUCCCCGAAAGCUAUUUAGGUAGCGCCUCGUGAACUCAUCUUCGGGGGUAGAGCACUGUUUCGACUAGGGGGUCAUCCCGACUUACCAACUCGAUGCAAACUGCGAAUACCGAAGAAUGUUAUCACGGGAGACACACGGCGGGUGCUAACGUCCGUCGUGAAGAGGGAAACAACCCAGACCGCCAGCUAAGGUCCCAAAGUCAUGGUUAAGUGGGAAACGAAGUGGGAAGGCUCAGACAGCCAGGAUGUUGGCUUAGAAGCAGCCAUCAUUUAAAGAAAGCGUAAUAGCUCACUGGUCGAGUCGGCCCGCGCGGAAGAUGUAACGGGGCUAAACCAUGCACCGAAGCUGCGGCAGC
rnacentral:rRNA from 1 species